rnacentral:rRNA from 1 species
CCUACGGGGGGCUGCAGUGGGGAAUAUUGGACAAUGGGGGCAACCCUGAUCCAGCAAUUCUGUGUGCACGAAGAAGGUUUUCGGAUGGUAAAGUGCUUUCAGCAGGGAAGAAGAAAGUGACGGUACCUGCAGAAGAAGCGACGGAUAAAUACGUGCCAGCAGCCGCGGUAAUACGUAUGUCGCAAGCGUUAUCCGGAAUUUUUGGGCAUAAAGGGCAUCUAGGCGGCCAGACAAGUCUGGGGUGAAAACUUGCGGCUCAACCGCAAGCCUGCCCUGGAAACUGUUUGGCUAGAGUGCUGGAGAGGUGGACGGAACUGCACGAGUAGAGGUGAAAUUCGUAGAUAUGUGCAGGAAUGCCGAUGAUGAAGAUAGUUCACUGGACGGUAACUGACGCUGAAGUGCGAAAGCUGGGGGAGCGAACAGGAUUAGAUACCCGUGUAGUC